rnacentral:tRNA from 1 species
GCAUCGGUGGUUCAGUGGUAGAAUGCUUGCCUGCCACGCGGGCGGCCAGGGUUCGAUUCCCGGCCGAUGCA